rnacentral:rRNA from 1 species
GACGAACGCUGGCGGCGUGCCUAACACAUGCAAGUCGAGCGGAGAUGUACUGAAGAUUUAUCGGAUGUACAUCUUAGCGGCGGACGGGUGAGUAACGCGUGGGCAACCUGCCUUUCACUGGGGGAUAACACAGGGAAACCUGUGCUAAUACCGCAUGACAUCACGUAGGGCAUCCUAUGUGAUCAAAGGAGAGAUCCGGUGGAAGAUGGGCCCGCGUCCAAUUAGCUGGUUGGUGAGGUAAAGGCUCACCAAGGCGACGAUUGGUAGCCGAACUGAGAGGUUGAUCGGCCACAUUGGGACUGAGACACGGCCCAGACUCCUACGGGAGGCAGCAGUGGGGAAUAUUGCACAAUGGGGGAAACCCUGAUGCAGCGACGCCGCGUGCGGGAUGACGGCCUCGGUUGUAACCGCUUCUAGCAGGGACGAAACGAGACGGUACCUGCAGAAGAAGACGCCGGCGUAACUACGUGCCAGCAGCCGCGGUAACAC